GGACUAAGCUUCCAGCAUACAACCGUCUUGGGAACAAGACCUCUUAAAGCAUGGUGUCCUCCUAGGAAGACAUGGGGUGAUGGCUGAACUCUUUUGGAAGAUAACAUGGCGGAGUCCAGUCAGCCUCAGGUAGUGCUGACGAGCCUAGAGUACAUACUGUGACCUCAAGACUUUGUUCCAAGAUAAAUUCCCCAGCAGAUUAAAGGCUUAUUGCCUUGGGUGUUUAUUUGUUCUCCAAGGAGUGUUCCAAUGAGACCCGCCCAUAGGAAUGUCAACACAGGGGCCCCCGCUUUCUUUCUUUUCUCUUACCUUUGUUGGGUGAACUUGAAGCAAGCACACCAUGAGUCACUGUUCCCACCUCCUCCUAGAAUUGUCCCAUCAGAAUUCUAAGCAGGGAUGACAUUACAAACCUCUAACACUUUCAGGAUAGACUAAGCCACAUACACUUGGCAUGUGUGAGUAUGGUGUUUACACAGGGUAAAGAGGAAGCUUUGCUGGGUUGUUUGGAAUAUGAAAAAAAAAUUACAGGAUUGAAUGGCCACAAAACAUUUUCAGCAUCACUUGGCAUAGAAUGAACAGUUAGUAAAGGCAAUCUGUCUGUGUCCUGGAAGAAUCCAUGCUUCUAAGGUGCAACCUGUUUGUGCUAUGAACUCUUUGAAAUUCAUAACUCCAUUUUUCCUGAAAGGAACACAUGGUAUAAAAUCAGAUUAGAGUGCAACUAGGGACCACAUAAUUGACUACAAUGGGAUUAUUUUAAAAGACGGAUUGUCAGUAAUUAAGCCAGGGUAGGAAGACAAUCUAAAAGAAUCAUUCUUGCAAUAAAAUCACUUCGACAGGGGCCAGCAGAGGGCAGCUGUCAGGAAACCGGUUUCUAAGUCAUUUUCUGUGCCAGGGCCCUUUGCUCGGGGAGGGGACUGAGUUACAUAAGAGGCAGCAUCAAGUUGUGCCUGCUGAACAUUCCUUGGCUCACAGCAAGAGUGUGUUGGAACCAUGGCCUGGCACCCCGCUUCAGUGGAAUCUGGGGGUGUGGGAGGAAUGUCUCAGGGAGACAUUGGGAGUGACUCUGGGGUUCCUUCCCUGCAGGUACCUUCAGCUCCCUGGGCACAGAGAGAUCAAAAGGUCUUUCUAAAACAUAAAUCAAAGAGGGUUGGUGCUGGCAGCUGGGCGGUGGUGGCGCACGCCUUCAAUCCCAGCACCCAGAGGCAGAGGCAGGUGAAUCUCUGAGUUCGAGGCUAGCCUGGUCUACAGAGGGAGUUCCAGGACAGCCAGGACUGUUACACAGAUGAAACCCUGUCUCAAAGAAAAAGAGGGUUGGUGCUGUGGCCAGGGCCAGCCUGGGCUACAGAGUGGGACCCAGUCUCAAAGCAAAGCAAUUGCGCUAGAGUUGUAACUCCGUUUUCAGCCAUGCUUGUCAGCACACCUGAAGCCCGGGUCCCAUCUCGAGCACAGCAUGAACUGGAGGUGGUGGCUCACGUCUUUGGCUCUAGAGCUUGGGAGGUGGAGGAAGUGUGCUCAGGAGUUCAAGGUCAUCUUCAUAGUGAGGUUGAGGGUAAGACUGGCUUACCUGAGACGCUGCAUCAGCACCCCCCUCCCCACCCCCCGCCACACUCACCAGAAAAAGGAAAACUCCAACUCGACCAGAACAAACACAGAUCAGGGACCGGCAUGUAGCUCAGUGGGAGAGUAUGUACUGGACUUCGUGAGGCCCUGGGUUCGAUGCCUAGCACUCGAACCCAAAACCAUAUUCAGUCAAAUCUCUUCUCAUAAGUUUCCAUGCUUCAGUCUCUACGACCAAUCCGUUCUCCUUUGCCCCGUGCCCAGGCACAUUCACUUUGUGCCGGCAGUGCCGACCCUCUGGAUAUUUCUCCGAACUCAGUCCACACGGCAGGGCCUUUGCACCUGCUGGUCCCUCUGAGUGGAGCUGACCUCAUUCAGACAACUGUGCCCAACACUCGCUCCUCUUGGUUCUUUUUCCAAUGAGCUGUUCCCAGCAAGAGAUCUCUUGUCUAUGUAUAAAGAUAAACGGCUGAUGCCUUGUGUGGCCCGGCUGUGAUUUAUUUUAUUCUUUCAUAUACAGUGGAUGUGUGAGAAGGACCCAGCCUCAAAUGUCACCUAUGAAAACAGGACACAGAUCCACUGCAGCCUGUGUGCUGAAGCCGGCAACACAAAGACAGCCAGGUCAUAGCCAGAUGGUGGUUGGCCUUAGCAUGGGAGGUGGGCUUGGGUCUCCCUCAGCUGCAGAGUGAGCUUCAAAAAUAGGUGUCUUGUAGGGUUUCUGUUGCUCUGAAGAGACACCAUGGCCAUGGCACCUCUUAUAAAGGAAAAACAUUUAAUUGGGGUGGCCUACAUUUUCAGAAGUUUAGUCCAUUAUCAUGGUGUGACAUGGUGGCAUGAAGGCAGACAUGGUGCUGGGAAAGAAGCUGAGAGUCCUGAAUCUUGACCCGCAGGCAACAGGAAGUGAUCUGAACUGUAACACGGAGGGUAGCUUGAGCAAAGGAGACCUCAAAGCCCACCCCCACAGUGAGACACUUCCUCCACAAAGGCCACACCUCCUAAUAGUGCCACUCCCAUUGGGAGCUGUUUUCUUUCAAACCACCACAGUAGGGCUAUAGAUUCAGGGUCCCAGGAGGCAGCAAAGAUGUGGGUGAGAAGCACAAUAUGUCAGAUAGGGAAAGGGCUUGGCAUGGGCCAGAGACUCUUUCGGACAUGCUCAGUUCCCUGCUGACCAGGGAAGUGGUGAUCCAAGGAGGCUGAGAGGCAGUUGGGAAGAGGGGAUCACAGAAAAUGGUGGAGCUUGCUGAACAGUGUUUUCCUCUGAAUUCAAAGCUCCUGGAGGAAGGCUUAUAGGAUGAAGAUCCCCAUCGCUAAUGAAACUUACUAGCCCAAGAUGCUCAAAACGUUGUCAGAGUCACAAAGCCCCUAGCCAAAGUUAUAAAAGCAGCAAACAGUUGCUCCUGGGAGGAGACUCUUUGGUGGAGCUGCCUGCAGCCCGUGUGGAGAGUUCCAGGGGUGCGGCUUUCCUGAGUCAUCGCCAAAAUGGGGUGCACUUUUUAGUGCUGCAGUCGUCAUCCAUUCCACUGUCAAUAAAUAACUCAUUUAUCUUCCUGUAAGUCACCCCAAUAAACUCAUUGGUUCAAUAUUUAUGUGUAUAUUUAUUUAGACAGGAUUUAGAAGGAUACAAAUGAAAACCUAAAUCAUAUUUGCCUCUAGCCUGUAGAUCUUCUCCUUAAAAGGACAGAAUCAAGGAGAGAGAUUCUGCUUUCAUUUUGCAUUCUUGUUCCACCUUAAAAAAAUCAGUACUGAGGAUUGAACCCACAGUUUCAUACAUCCUAGCCCAGGCUGGUCUUGAACCUGCAGAAUUCUUCAGUCUGCCAAGUGCUGGGAUUACAGGUCAGAAGAGAGUGUUGGAUCCCUUGAAACUGGAGUUACAGUGUCGGGGAGCCAUGUGAGAGGAACAGCAAACAGCUUUGGAACUCAUGGAGGUCAGCAUAAAGAGGUCACGAGAGUCUUGGAGAGGCAGAGCCCGAGGACUGUGUGUGUCCCGAGGACCUCCUGCUGUUACUGAGCACAACUCUGCUUAUUACCCUCACGGUCAUCACGUCCCUCAUCAUCUAUGGGUUGUGUGAACACUCUCAGGGGGUUUCCAGCCCCUCACUGGGCAGUGUUACUGGUACUUACAAUAACAGCGAUUGACUUUUUCCAAGUGUUGCUGCUGGAGCAGAUUCAACCACCACCCUUAGGAAGAAUUUAGACAGGUAGAAUUGUUAGUAAGGUUAGGUUAAGGUGUUUUUUGUUCAUGGCUUUGAGGUAGAAAAUCUUGGGGAACGAUUUAAAGUUUAGAAAGUCACACUUCUGUUAGUUAAGCAAGGCACCCGCUGAGGCCAGGGAAUAAAAACCACAGCAGCCCGGCUGCUGCCUUUCUGGCUAGGAUAGAUUGGUGAUCAAAGGUGAUGAUUAGUUCCUUGUACCCAUUUCUGCCCCCAGCUUUCUGGUAUGAUUUAAUAAAAAACUGUUCAUGAAUGGGUAUGCACCCUGAGAAUUUAAAGUAGAAAUGACUGUUUUUCAUAUAUAAAAGUCUAGAUUUGUGAUUCUUUUAAGGUUUUUAUUUUAUUUAUUUACUUAUUUAUUUAUAUAAAAUUACCCAUUGAGAUAAAUAAUAAAAUGAUUGAUCCUUUCUUUGUAAAAGAACUGGCUGAGAAAAAGGCAUUGCUUACUUAUACUCUGUUAAUCUAUAACAAGUUGCUCUGCUAUGAAUGUAUAUGGAUCUUUGGAAAUCAUUUGUUUUUUACAUGUAAUACUUAGAAGGUUUACUCAUGUAAGGGAAAUGAGAAACAUGCUGUUUUUUACUUGUAUUCAUUGUAAUCCUUCACUUGAAAAAUAGAAUGCAAACACAAUGUAAUUUUUAUACUGCUUGAAAGAUAUUGCUGGGGUACAUAAGCUGUAUUGAAAAAAUAAAAA